UACGUAGGGGGCAAGCGUUAUCCGGAAUUAUUGGGCGUAAAGAGUGCGUAGGUGGUUACUUAAGCGCGGGGUUUAAGGCAAUGGCUCAACCAUUGUUCGCCCUGCGAACUGGGUUACUUGAGUGCAGGAGAGGAAAGCGGAAUUCCUAGUGUAGCGGUGAAAUGCGUAGAUAUUAGGAGGAACACCAGUGGCGAAGGCGGCUUUCUGGACUGUUACUGACACUGAGGCACGAAAGUGUGGGGAGCAAACAGG
rnacentral:rRNA from 1 species